AGAACGAACGCUGGCGGCGUGCCUAACACAUGCAAGUCGAGCGCGAAUGGAGCAAUCCUAGUAGAGCGGCGCACGGGUGCGUAACACGUGGGUAAUCUGCCUGGAAGAUCGGGAUAACCUGCCGAAAGGCUGGCUAAUACCGGAUAAGCCUACAGUGUCUUCGGACAUGGUAGGAAAAGGUGGCCUCUGUAUACAAGCUAUCACUUCCAGAUGAGCCCGCGGCCCAUCAGCUAGUUGGCGGGGUAACGGCCCACCAAGGCAACGACGGGUAGCUGGUCUGAGAGGACGAUCAGCCACACUGGAACUGAGACACGGUCCAGACUCCUACGGGAGGCAGCAGUGGGGAAUUUUGCACAAUGGGCGAAAGCCUGAUGCAGCAACGCCGCGUGUGUGAUGAAGGUCUUCGGAUCGUAAAGCACUUUCGACCGGGACGAACAACCUCUGGCUAAUACUCGAGGGCCUGGACGGUACCGGGAGAAGAAGCGACCGGCUUAACCG
rnacentral:rRNA from 1 species